rnacentral:rRNA from 1 species
GAUGAACGCUGGCGGCGUGCUUAACACAUGCAAGUCGAACGGUGAAGCAGGAGCUUGCUCUUGUGGAUCAGUGGCGAACGGGUGAGUAACACGUGAGCAACCUGCCCCUGACUCUGGGAUAAGCGCUGGAAACGGCGUCUAAUACUGGAUAUGUGAUGUGACCGCAUGGUCUGCAUCUGGCAAGAAUUUCGGUUGGGGAUGGGCUCGCGGCCUAUCAGCUUGUUGGUGAGGUAAUGGCUCACCAAGGCGUCGACGGGUAGCCGGCCCGAGAGGGUGACCGGCCACACUGGGUCUGAGACACGGCCCAGACUCCUACGGGAGGCAGCAGUGGGGAAUAUUGCACAAUGGGCGGAAGCCUGAUGCAGCAACGCCGCGUGAGGGAUGACGGCCUUCGGGUUGUGAACCUCUUUUAGCAGGGAAGAAGCGAAAGUGACGGUACCUGCAGAAAAAGCACCGGCUAACUACGUGCCAGCAGCCGCCGUAA